rnacentral:misc_RNA from 1 species
UGGAAUUGGACCUGAUGGGCGGUACAGAUGCGAAGAUCCCAAAUUCACCGAGGGCACUGCUCAUGUCUAGCUUUAUGGGAGUUGGGACAUUCAUCAACUCUGCAUGUUGUGGCUUUUGAUUAGUCUGCAUGAGGGGAAACAGUUUGGAUAGGCAAGCCUGCAUCGAUUCUUUCUUUUGCUACUCUGAACGUACACUCCCUUUUUGAGCUAUGAAGAUAUGUUUAUUCUUAAAAAAAAAAAUAUCAGAGGCCCUAAAGUGAUCCAUCUCUCUUUUUUAAGAUACAGCCCUGGAGAAAGGCACAUUGGUUUGGGUGGUCCAUCUCUAGCAGUACAUGAUUGACAAUUUGUUAAGGAAAAAAACAUAUUUGAUGCUCUCAAUACAAUACAAUACAAUACAAUGCAUAUUUAGGAAGAUUCAAUUAUUUGAGUAUUUGAUGUAUCAUUUUCA